rnacentral:rRNA from 1 species
UACGUAGGGGCCGAGCGUUGUCCGGAAUUACUGGGCGUAAAGAGCUCGUAGGUGGUUUGUCGCGUUGUUCGUGAAAACUCACAGCUCAACUGUGGGCGUGCGGGCGAUACGGGCAGACUAGAGUACUGCAGGGGAGACUGGAAUUCCUGGUGUAGCGGUGGAAUGCGCAGAUAUCAGGAGGAACACCGGUGGCGAAGGCGGGUCUCUGGGCAGUAACUGACGCUGAGGAGCGAAAGCGUGGGGAGCGAACAGG